rnacentral:rRNA from 1 species
UGGGGAAUUUUGGACAAUGGGCGAAAGCCUGAUCCAGCAAUGCCGCGUGUGUGAAGAGGGCCUUCGGGUUGUAAAGCACUUUUGUCCGGAAAGAAAUCCUUGGCUCUAAUACAGUCGGGGGAUGACGGUACCGGAAGAAUAAGCACCGGCUAACUACGUGCCAGCAGCCGCGGUAAUACGUAGGGUGCAAGCGUUAAUCGGAAUUACUGGGCGUAAAGCGUGCGCAGGCGGUUUGCUAAGACCGAUGUGAAAUCCCCGGGCUCAACCUGGGAACUGCAUUGGUGACUGGCAGGCUAGAGUAUGGCAGAGGGGGGUAGAAUUCCACGUGUAGCAGUGAAAAUGCGUAGAGAUGUGGAGGAAUACCGAUGGCGAAAGGCAGCCCCCCUGGGCCAAUACUGACGCUCAUGCACGAAAAGCGUGGGGAGCAAACAGGAUUAGAUACCCUGGUAGUCCACGCCCUAAAACGAUGUCAACUAGUUGUUGGGGAAUUCAUUUCCUUAGUAACGUAGCUAACGCGUGAAGUUGACCGCCUGGGGAGUACGGUCGCAAAGAUUAAAACUUAAAUGAAUUGACGGGGUCAUAGCUG